CAAAAACUCGGGAGGAAAAAAUGUGAAGAUCGAAUCAACACCAGCUCGGUGAAUCCAUUCACAUUUCAUAUCAAGUAAACAUUAUGUUGGGUUGGCAUGGUCUUUCAGAGGACAAAGAGGUCUGCUCUAAAAAAACAAAACAGAAAACACUGAAACGCAAGUCUGGGACUGUGGAGUGAGAGUUUCCGAGGAAACACUGUUUAGCUAAUGGUCCAAUGUGUGAGGAACAAGAAGCUGGUGACUCAAGAUCAGAUGCCGAGAACUGAGUAAGUGUGGGAUCCAUGUCGGUGUGAAGGCGUUGAAUUGAAAGUAAGCCACAGUAACAUUUUAUAUUCUUAAAACAAAUGAUUAAAAGAAUAAUUGAUCUAGACUCAAGCCGUCUUUCUGAGUGAGCCAUCCACAAUUCAGACAGAUUUAACUUGCGUGCACCUCCUGCGCGCAAGCUGAUGAUUCACCAUAUGAGAUCUUCAUCACCGUCACACUCUCCCAAUGUGUCAAUCACUCCAUCUCCCACCUGCAAAUCAUUUUUGCACACUUCUACUUAACUCUUCUCUGUGCAGUAUACCAACGCAAUGUCAAGCUAGGUGACUUUAGUCAGCAGUUUCAUGCAUCAUUAGAGCACAGAUAAAAGCACAGACAUAAAGGAAGAAACGCCUGAUUGAGCAGAGUGUCUUUUACAAUACAAUUACUUCAAUAUCAUUUUACUGGGGAAAAUAUUAUAUGGUUGUAUU